AUUCCAGCUCCAAUAGUGUAUAUUAAAGUUGUUGCGGUUAAAAAGCUCGUAGUUGGAUUUCUGCCAAGGCUGAACGGUCCGCCCUUUGGGUGAGUAUCUGUCUUAGCUGGAGCAUUUUCUUGGAGGGCAUGGCUGCACUUAACUGUGUGGUAUGCAACCCAAGACUUUUACUUUGAGGAAAUUAGAGUGUCUCAAGCAGGCUCGCGCCUUGAAUACAUUAGCAUGGAAUAAUAAGAUAGGAUCUGAUGCCUAUUUUGUUGGUUUCUAGGCGUGAGAUAAUGAUUAAUAGGGACAAUUGGGGGGAUUCGUAUUAUGGCGUCAGAGGUGGAAUUCUUGGAUUGCCAUACGACGAACUACUGCGAAAGCAUUUCUCAGGGAUGUUUUCAUCA
rnacentral:rRNA from 1 species